GCUGUGAUUGCCGAGUGGUUAAGGCGUUGGACUUGAAAUCCAAUGGGGAUUCCCCAUGCAGGUUCAAACCCUGCUCGCAGCG